GACGAACGCUGGCGGCGUGCUUAACACAUGCAAGUCGAACGGUGAAGCACCUUCCUUUUGGUGGGUGUGGAUGAGUGGCGAACGGGUGAGUAACACGUGAGUAACCUGCCCCCUUCUUCUGGAUAACCGCAUGAAAGUGUGGCUAAUACGGGAUAUUCUGUGCCUGCUGCAUGGUGGGUGUGGGAAAGAUGCGCUUUUGGGUGUUUUUGGUGGGGGAUGGGCUCGCGGCCUAUCAGCUUGUUGGUGGGGUGAUGGCCUACCAAGGCGGUGACGGGUAGCCGGCCUGAGAGGGUGGACGGUCACACUGGGACUGAGACACGGCCCAGACUCCUACGGGAGGCAGCAGUAGGGAAUAUUGCACAAUGGGCGCAAGCCUGAUGCAGCGACGCCGCGUGAGGGAUGGAGGCCUUCGGGUUGUAAACCUCUUUCGCCAGUGAAGCAGGCCUGUCCCUUGUGGGUGGGUUGACGGUAGCUGGAUAAGAAGCGCCGGCUAACUACGUG
rnacentral:rRNA from 1 species